rnacentral:rRNA from 1 species
GACGAACGCUGGCGGCGUGCUUAACACAUGCAAGUCGAACGAAGUGGCGAACGGGUGAGUAACGCGGAAUCACCCUGCCCUUCAGAGGGGGACAACAGGUGGAAACGACUGCUAAUACCGCAUGCUGAAGGGGGGGAGUGCGUCUGAUUAGCUAGUUGGAGGGGUAACGGCCCACCAAGGCGAUGAUCAGUAGCCGGUCUGAGAGGGUGAACGGCCACAUUGGGACUGAGACACGGCCCAGACUCCUACGGGAGGCAGCAGUAGGGAAUCUUCCGCAAUGGACGAAAGUCUGACGGAGCAACGCCGCGUGAGUGAUGACGGCCUUCGGGUUGUAAAGCUCUGUUAAUCGGGACGCGGUACCUGAAUAGAAAGCCACGGCUAACUACGUGCCAGCAGCCGCGGUAAUAC